rnacentral:rRNA from 1 species
AAUUUUGCACAAUGGAGGGAACUCUGAUGCAGCAACGCCGCGUGUGUGAAGAAGGUUUUCGGAUCGUAAAACUCUGUCAUUGGGGAAGAAUAAAUGACGGUACCCCAUGAGGAAGCCCCGGCUAACUACGUGCCAGCAGCCGCGGUAACACGUAGGGGGCGAGCGUUGUCCGGAAUUACUGGGCGUAAAGGGUACGUAGGCGGCUAUAUAAGUCAGGUGUGAAAUACCAGUGCUUAACACUGGAAUUGCAUUUGAAACUGUGUAGCUUGAGUGCAGGAGAGGAAAGUGGAAUUCCUAGUGUAGCGGUGAAAUGCGUAGAGAUUAGGAGGAACACCAGUGGCGAAGGCGACUUUCUGGUCUGAAACUGACGCUGAGGCGCGAAAGCGUGGGGAGCAAACA